UGUGUAGGUGGCUGAGCAAGUCGACGAUGAAAUCCCGAGGCUUAACUUCGGAAUUGUUUUCGAAACUGCCCAGCUUGAGGAUAGUUGAGGAGAACGGAAUUCCCGGUGGAGCGGUGAAAUGCGUAGAUAUCGGGAGGAACACCAGAGGCGAAGGCGGUUCUCUAGACUAUUCCUGACACUGAGACACGAAAGCUAGGGGAGCGAACG
rnacentral:rRNA from 1 species